UUGGCCCCCUUUCCAUCUUCUCUGCUCCGCCGUAAGCUUUCGAGCAACACAAACUGGGCUAAGAUCGCAGCCUGCAGAGACUCCAAGCGGAGUCGGAGAAAUUUGGCCUCGUUUUAAAAGGGCUGGGGAAUGAACUCCGGAGGUCAAUAAAGCCCUCCAAAAAUGAUGAAUGAUUGAGCACCUGUGAUGAUGAUAGUGAUUACCAGAGCAAUUAAACAGUUUGAUUAAAUGAGCCAUCAUAACAAUGAUGUCUGCGGGAAAUCGGCCCUCACAUAUAAAGAAAGAUAGUGCGCAGGGGCUGGCAGAGGCGCGGAUAGCGCGACGCCGGGGACAGGGGCUGCGGGCCGCUAGGUUUUUGCCCCGGUGGCCGGGACUGCCAGGCUCGCUGAGCUUCAGGGAGAAGAGUCUAGACCAGGUUUUCAGCCACUCUUUUUCCGCCCCCCACCCCACCCCCGGGCUUCAAGCCUACCGGAGGCGACGGGUAUGAAACCUGAAGGUUGGGGGGGAGGGUACUUCCUCCACCGCCUUUUUUUCCUAGAAGAACUCCAAGAUUAAAAGUAUCCUUCUUGUUUGUUGCUGAGUUGCUCGUCGACAUAUCAGGAAAGAAAGACAGAUACUUUGUGAAGUUGCGGCUGGACCACUGCCUUAGAAAAGGUUUUGCAAGAAGAAACUCUGCUCAUUCUGUAGGCAGGUGGCUCCCUGAUCUGCUGUUUCUGGAGCUUCAAUCACUAGUGACAUGCCUGCAAUCCACAAAGUCCUGGGUGUCUCCUUUAGCUAUCAUCAUCUGAAAGACAUCUAAAAGGGUGUUUUAGUGCUUGAGAGCAUUAGGUUUCAUUUCUUGCAUUCCACAAUGUAAGUGGAAAAGUUGAUCCACACUGACAUGAAGGGCUCAAUUCUGCAUGAACUUUUUGUUUUUCCACCAGAGGUAAUCCUUCUUUUUUUUCUUUUUUGUGUAAGGCUCAAGUUCAUUUAAAAGUUGUUGACUCUUUCCUAGAGACAUAUAGCCCAGCAGAACUAAACUCAUUCCAAUGAAACUGACAUCAACUAGCAGAAGAAUGGCUAUUUUUAAUACUAGAGACACCUUUGCAGAAUGACUAAACUUGCUAAGCAGCAAUAUAUAGAGACAGUGCACUGAGAUCAAGAAGAGUCAAUCAUCAACCACUCCAGUUGUUUUUAAAUAGACUUACUAUGCUUUUUAAAAGAGUAUUAUUUCAAUAAAACAAUCCACAAAUAAACACAAAACAAAAGGGCAAAUGUAGAGACAUAUUGCAAGUAAGCAUGCAUACCAAAAAGGUAAGUGCAAAUUAGAUUUGAAUAUUCAUGAGUCACAAAUCAUUGACAGUUUGAAAUAAUGCAAAACAGCUUUAUAAAUGAGGUUAAGGCAAGGGACAUCAAAGAAAUGCAUCGCUAAAUCAAUAGCAGUUUGAUUGUGCAUAUACUUGUAAAUUGCGGUUACAAUUUUUGUGACAUGGGAGAAAAAAUACUGUGUAUCUGAUGAAGGAGGAAGACACAUAAAUAUUCCUUUUGUAUAUUGUAGUUUUACAAUUUGUCAUGCACUUGGAGACCAGCCAGGUAGAGAGUGGUUGGGCAUCAUAUUUUCCCCCAAAGACAGAGUUCCCUUUUCAGAGACAGAGUUUCAGGCCUAUGCCCAAACAGCCCUUGCUUGUUCUGCUAAACAGAAUUCAUCGUGCAACGAUUCUUGUAGCGUUGUUUUCUAAAAUAAAGAUUGGCACUUAGCACAUAUGACUUUAGAGAAUGGCUUAACCUUAAAUCCCUUCAUAAUAAAAUAAAUUCCACUGGACGGCAUAUAGUCUGUCUUAGCAAAUAUUUUUCUAUUUAGAAAAGAACAGAUGAAUUCAAAGUAUAAGAACGAUUUGUAAUACUUUGAAAUGAUUGGAGAUGUAAAAUAUAGAUAACCUUAUAAUUUAAAUCAAAAUGUUUUCAUUUUUGUUCAGCAGGUAACUAGUCACUAAUUUAAUAUUGGUUCUUUUGUACCAGUGGCUUUUUUUUUGGUGUGGGGUGUACAUACAUGCUGCAUAUGUAUGGAGAGAUAUUUUAAAUGGUAGGACUUAGAAAUUAAAGACUUGUUUAGGGCUUGCCUAAAAUUAUUAAUAGAAACAUUUCCAAUUAAUUUUUCUCAGUAGUUUGUAUCUGGGAUACUAUUUGUAAAUUAUGAAGUAUUUUUUCAGGACAUUACUUUACAAGCCUCUUUAUUGUGUCCUGUCUGCUUUCUUGGAUAAGAGAAGUUAAUGACAUCAUAUGAAAAUCAUGGCACACAGUAAUACUAAUUUUGGAAGAGGCUGGGGAAUUGGGAUCUGUUUAGAAAAUUAAUCUAUAUCUUCUUGCUAGACUAUUCUUUAAGGCAGACAUUUAUAUUUGGGAGGUGAAAUCCAGAUGAAGCAUAUCUAGAAAAAGAGACUUCUGCGUUGUCUUCAAUUUACUAUUCUAUUGGAAAAGAAGCUAAGAUGAUUUCUGUACUGUUAAUAAUUAAGAAUAUCAAUAAAUUCCAAAGCAACGGCCUAGGUAAACUUUUAAGGUCUUUAUAUAAAGUCUAUGAUUAUAAUUUGUCAGUUUUGACUUAAGUAACAUUUAGUGUUAUGUUUGUAAGCCAUAUCUCGUUAUUUUUGUUUUAUAUAUAAAAAUUUCUUGAAUCUCAAAAGUUAUUAGCU